rnacentral:rRNA from 1 species
ACGGCGAGUGAAGCGGCAACAGCUCAAAUUUGAAAUCUGGCUUCGGCCCGAGUUGUAAUUUGCAGAGGAUGUUUCUGGCGCGGUGCCUUCCGAGUUCCCUGGAACGGGACGCCACAGAGGGUGAGAGCCCCGUAUGGUUGGACACCAAGCCUGUGUGAAACUCCUUCAACGAGUCGAGUAGUUUGGGAAUGCUGCUCUAAAUGGGAGGUAAAUCUCUUCUAAAGCUAAAUACCGGCCAGAGACCGAUAGCGCACAAGUAGAGUGAUCGAAAGAUGAAAAGCACCUUGAAAAGGGGGUUAAAUAGUACGUGAAAUUGUUGAAAGGGAAGCACUUAUGACCAGACUUGGGCCGGGCGGCUCAUCAGGGGUUCUCCCCUGUGCACUCCGCCCGGCACAGGCCAGCAUCGGUUCUCGUGGGGGGAUAAGACCGUCAGGAACGUAGCACCCUCCGGGGUGUGUUAUAGCCUGGCGGACGAUACCCCCGUGGGGACCGAGGUCCGCGCUCCGCAAGGAUGCUGGCGUAAUGGUCAUCAGUGACCCGUCUUGAAACACGGACCAAGGAGUCGUCCAUUAGAGCGAGCGUUUGGGUGUAAAACCCGCACGCGUAAUGAAAGUGAACGCAGGUGAGAGCUUCGGCGCAUCAUCGACCGAUCCUGAUGUUCUCGGAAGGAUUUGAGUAAGAGUUUUAACGGACGGACCCGAAAGACAGUGAACUAUGCUUGUAUAGGGUGAAGCCAGAGGAAACUCUGGUGGAGGCUCGCAGCGGUUCUGACGUGCAAAUCGAUCGUCAAA